rnacentral:rRNA from 1 species
AUUGAACGCUGGCGGCAGGCUUAACACAUGCAAGUCGAGCGGAGAUGAGGUGCUUGCUCCUUGAUUCAGCGGCGGACGGGUGAGUAAUGCCUAGGAAUCUGCCUGGUAGUGGGGGACAACGUUUCGAAAGGAACGCUAAUACCGCAUACGUCCUACGGGAGAAAGCAGGGGACCUUCGGGCCUUGCGCUAUCAGAUGAGCCUAGGUCGGAUUAGCUAGUUGGUGGGGUAAUGGCUCACCAAGGCGACGAUCCGUAACUGGUCUGAGAGGAUGAUCAGUCACACUGGAACUGAGACACGGUCCAGACUCCUACGGGAGGCAGCAGUGGGGAAUAUUGGACAAUGGGCGAAAGCCUGAUCCAGCCAUGCCGCGUGUGUGAAGAAGGUCUUCGGAUUGUAAAGCACUUUAAGUUGGGAGGAAGGGCAGUAAGCUAAUACCUUGCUGUUUUGACGUUACCGACAGAAUAAGCACCGGCUAACUCUGUGCCAGCAGCCGCCGUAACAC